AUUAUGUGGUCAUGAGGCACAGAAUAAGCGCUGAGCAGCAUCUGACUCCCACGGGGAGUGGCUCUGCACUGCAUUUCUUCUGAGAGCAGC